rnacentral:rRNA from 1 species
GAACGGAAACCUUCGGGUUUUAGUGGCGAACGGGUGAGUAACACGUAAGCAACCUACCCUAAAGACGAGGAUAACCAUUGGAAACAGUGGCUAAGACUGGAUAGGAAGAUAAAAGGCAUCUUUUAUCUUUUAAAAGACCUAGUAAUAGGUAUGCUUUAGGAGGGGCUUGCGCCAUAUUAGUUAGUUGGUAGGGUAAUGGCCUACCAAGACGAUGAUGUGUAGCUGGACUGAGAGGUUGAACAGCCACAUUGGGACUGAGACACGGCCCAAACUCCUACGGGAGGCAGCAGUAGGGAAUUUUCGGCAAUGGAGGAAACUCUGACCGAGCAACGCCGCGUGAAUGACGAAGUACUUCGGUAUGUAAAGUUCUUUUAUCAAGGAAGAAAAGCAAAUGGCGAACCAUUUGUUUGCCGGUACUUGAUGAAUAAGCCCCGGCUAAUUAUGUGCCAGCAGCCGCGGUAAGACAUAAGGGGCAAGUGUUAUCCGGAAUUAUUGGGCGUAAAGGGUGCGUAGGCGGUCUAGUAAGUCAGUGGUGUAAUGGCAACGCUUAACGUUGUCCGGCUAUUGAAACUGCUAAACUUGAGUUAGAUAGAGGCGAGUGGAAUUCCAUGUGUAGCGGUAAAAUGCGUAAAUAUAUGGAGGAACACCAGAGGCGUAGCGGCUCGCUGGGUCUUAACUGACGCUGAGGCACGAAAGCGUGGGGAGC